GCCUCGGUGGUGUAGCGGUCAACACGCUCGCUUGGCAAUUAGGAGGCCAUGGGUUCGAUCUCAGCCGAGGUA
rfam:Asian citrus Psyllid, Diaphorina citri - Florida Strain, whole genome shotgun sequence.